rnacentral:misc_RNA from 1 species
GACGUAGGGGGCAAGCGUUGUCCGGAUUUAUUGGGCGUAAAGAGCUCGUAGGUGGUCCAGUAAGUCGGAUGUGAAAUCUCCAGGCUCAACCUGGAGGGGCCAUUCGAUACUGCUGUGACUAGAGUCCGGUAGAGGAGAGUGGAAUUCCCGGUGUAGCGGUGAAAUGCGCAGAUAUCGGGAGGAACACCAGUAGCGAAGGCGGCUCUCUGGGCCGGAACUGACACUGAGGAGCGAAAGCGUGGGGAGCAAACAGG